rnacentral:lncRNA from 1 species
CAGAGUUAUUUCUGUGUUCGUGCUGCAGUAAUUAUUGUACUACUAUUGUACCCCUAUUUGCUAUUGGACUUUACUUGCGUGGAAAGAGAAAAUCUUAACAGCUCCAGGAAGAGAAUCGUCCGGCCAUUGAUUCGAUACUAAGAUAGCAUUGGAAUGUGUGUGGUAAUGUGUAUUAUACGUGUAGGAGGAGUUAAUAGAUUUGGUCGUUGUGCACCUUGUGGUUAGGGAGGAGCGAAGGAAGCAGCACCUAUACAGCUAUGACCCUUGAGAGAUUGGUGCUCCAGUUGGUCGGGUAUUGAGUGCGAACCAGUCCCCAACGAAACAAGUUCUAAUUUCGAU